CCUUUCUUGCCACAGUUGUUAACUGAAUAACUGCAAUUGUUAAGUUAGUAAAACAAUUGUUAAGUGAAUCUGGCUUCCCCAUUGACUUUGCUUGUCAGAAGGUCGCAAAAGGGGAUCACACAUAACUCUGGGACAUGGCAAUCAUCAUAAAUUUGAGCCAAUUACCAAGCU